rnacentral:rRNA from 1 species
UAGGGAAUUUUUCGCAAUGGACGAAAGUCUGACGGAGCAAUGCCGCGUGAAUGAUGAAGGUCUUCGGAUCGUAAAAUUCUGUUGUAAGAGAAGAACACCAAGGAUAGGAAAUGAUCUUUGGCUGACGGUACCUUACCAGAAAGGGACGGCUAACUUCGUGCCAGCAGCCGCGGUAAUACGAAGGUCCCAAGCGUUAUCCGGAAUUAUUGGGCGUAAAGAGCAUGUAGGCGGUUUACUAAGUUCGAUGUGAAAGCUCUAGGCCUAACCUAGAAAUUGCAUUGAAAACUGGUGAACUAGAAUACUGGAGGGGCAAGUGGAAUUCCAUGUGUAGCGGUGGAAUGCGUAGAUAUAUGGAGGAACACCAAUGGCGAAGGCAGCUUGCUGGACAGUAAUUGACGCUGAGAUGCGAAAGCGUGGGGAGCAAACA